GAAGGGCUUGUAUUGCUCGGGGUGACGGCUGGUCGUUGAUAACAGUGGAAGACUAUGCGAGUUAACAAGUCACUCGAGGAUGUGGAGUGGCAGCUGAGUGGGACCUCUUCACUCUGACCGGUAGACCUUGUGACAGUCGUCUGCUGUGCAAAGGAGUGAAAACCUGCUGGUCUGGGAACAGGGGGUGUUCACUUUGGAGGUCACCAGCAACAGUGUGGGCCUGUCAUGGCUGCGGGUGAGAUGGAGCCUAUCCCAGCUGACCCCAAGGCGUUCCCAGGCCAGCUGUGAGACAUAAUCCCUCCAGCGUGCCCUAGGUUUGCCCCGGGGCCUUCUCCCGCCUGGGCAUGCCCGGAACACCUCACUAGGGAGGCAUUCGGGAGGCAUCCCGACUAGAUGGCCGAGUCACCUCAACUGGCUUGGCUUGAUGUGAAGGAGCAGCAACUCUACUCUGAGCCCCUCACGGAUGACCGAGCUCUUCUCCCUAUCUCUUAGGUUUUUCUCUAUGCCGCCCUCACUGGAAACAGUUUAGACACACCUGUCUGUAUUAGACACUCCAGACUGACAAGGUUCGGGACAUCCCAAAGUGGAAGUGGGCCUUUUAGGAAACAAUUCCAGGCACCGAAACUGCUUGCACU